rnacentral:rRNA from 1 species
UAAGCAUAUCAAUAAGCGGAGGAAAAGAAACCAACAGGGAUUGCCCUAGUAACGGCGAGUGAAGCGGCAACAGCUCAAAUUUGAAAUCUGGCUCUUUUAGAGUCCGAGUUGUAAUUUGCAGAGGGCGCUUUGGCUUUGGCAGCGGUCCAAGUUCCUUGGAACAGGACGUCACAGAGGGUGAGAAUCCCGUACGUGGUCGCUAGCUAUUGCCGUGUAAAGCCCCUUCGACGAGUCGAGUUGUUUGGGAAUGCAGCUCUAAAUGGGAGGUAAAUUUCUUCUAAAGCUAAAUAUUGGCCAGAGACCGAUAGCGCACAAGUAGAGUGAUCGAAAGAUGAAAAGCACUUUGGAAAGAGAGUCAAACAGCACGUGAAAUUGUUGAAAGGGAAGCGCUUGCAGCCAGACUUGCUUGCAGUUGCUCAUCCGGGCUUUUGCCCGGUGCACUCUUCUGCAGGCAGGCCAGCAUCAGUUUGGGCGGUGGGAUAAAGGUCUCUGACACGUUCCUUCCUUCGGGUUGGCCAUAUAGGGGAGACGUCAUACCACCAGCCUGGACUGAGGUCCGCGCAUCUGCUAGGAUGCUGGCGUAAUGGCUGUAAGCGGCCCGUCUUGAAACACGGACCAAGGAGUCUAACAUCUAUGCGAGUGUUUGGGUGUCAAGCCCGAGCGCGUAAUGAAAGUGAACGGAGGUGGGAACCCGCAAGGGUGCACCAUCGACCGAUCCUGAAGUUUACGGAAGGAUUUGAGUAAGAGCAUGGCUGUUGGGACCCGAAAGAUGGUGAACUAUGCUUGAAUAGGGUGAAGCCAGAGGAAACUCUGGUGGAGGCUCGCAGCGGUUCUGACGUGCAAAUCGAUCGUCAAAUUUGGGCAUAGGGGCGAAAGACUAAUCGAACUAUCUAGUAGCUGGUUCCUGCAA